rnacentral:rRNA from 1 species
GACGAACGCUGGCGGCGUGCCUAAUACAUGCAAGUAGAACGCUCAAGCAGGAGCUUGCUUCUCUGGACGAGUUGCGCACGGGUGAGUAACGCGUAGGUAACCUGCCUCUUAGAGGGGGGUAACUAUUGGAAACGACAGCUAAUACCGCAUAAUAGCUGUUGUUGCAUGAUGACUGAUUGAAAGAUGCAGUUGUACCGCUACCAGUUGGUGCUGCGUCGUCUUAGCUAGUUGGUGGGGUAACGGCUCACCAAGGCGACGAUACAUCGGCGGCGUGAGAGGGGGGUCGGCCACAAUGGGACUGGGACACGGGUCAGGACUCCUACGGGGGGAGCAAGAGGGGAUCUUUGGGCAUGGAGGGAAGGCUUGACGGGGAAAGCCGCGGGGGUGAAGAAGGUUCUCGGGUCCGAAAGACCCGUUGUAAGGGAAGAAAGAGUGUGGGAGUGGAAAGUUCACGCUGUGACGGUACCUUAUCAGAAAGGCACGGCUAACUACGUG